rnacentral:rRNA from 1 species
CGUGGCUUUCGGAGCUAACGCGUUAAGUAGACCGCCUGGGGAGUACGGUCGCAAGAUUAAAACUCAAAUGAAUUGACGGGGGCCCGCACAAGCGGUGGAGCAUGUGGUUUAAUUCGAUGCAACGCGAAGAACCUUACCUACUCUUGACAUCCAGAGAACUUUCCAGAGAUGGAUUGGUGCCUUCGGGAACUCUGAGACAGGUGCUGCAUGGCUGUCGUCAGCUCGUGUCGUGAGAU